rnacentral:rRNA from 1 species
UACGUAGGGUGCGAGCGUUAAUCGGAAUUACUGGGCGUAAAGCGUGCGCAGGCGGUCUGUUAAGACAGAUGUGAAAUCCCCGGGCUUAACCUGGGAACUGCAUUUGUGACUGGCAGGCUAGAGUAUGGCAGAGGGGGGUAGAAUUCCACGUGUAGCAGUGAAAUGCGUAGAGAUGUGGAGGAAUACCGAUGGCGAAGGCAGCCCCCUGGGAUGACACUGACGCUCAUGCACGAAAGCGUGGGGAGCAAACAGG